rnacentral:lncRNA from 1 species
GGGCAGGACUGAAGUUUUGGGUCAAUCAAGGACCAUCACAAUGUCCCAAAGGACAGCUUUCGCAGCAGGGAUCCAGGAAAGCAACGCUUAUGGAGAAGGGGACAACCACUACCAUCAACUUUCAUCCAUAUGGUGGGGAAACCAUCUAACUAAAAUAGCAACAUGUCUUGAGGCAGGGAGAGAAAGAAUACAGGAUGUUCCAGGUUCCACAGAGCUGUUGCCAUUCGCUCCUGAGCAUGGUCCAACUCCUCAUCAACCAGCUGGACUCCAGCUGCUUCUCUCCUCUCCCUUUGACUGAAGAUACCCCAUCCUCUCCUCUGCAUCAUCUGCCUGUUGCUGGAGAACUUGAAUUUUACACCACACUCCCUCCAUGCUCUUGAAGUGCAGAAUGGAAGAUCAUUUGUCUACUAUUUUAAAGAGUAGAUUCCAAUGCAUUCCUUAUUCAUGUACAACCUAGCAAUGGCCUCUGAAUUCCCUUUGGACUUCGAUUUUGGGGAUUUUUAAAAGCCUGUUACUAAAGGUAUAAAAACAUUGUUUUACAAAAGGGAGGGGGACAAUUUAAACUUCCUGGAUCAUAAACUGAGAUGAUAAUUUGCCUUGAUAAAGCUCUAAUUCAGAUACUCUGCUUGAGGAUAAUAAAAUGUUGACUUAAUCCUGAAAUUCUCA